AGUAGCCUUCCUAGAGGCAGUAAUGAGAAAGAACUUGUUCCUUAUCAGCCCAGUAUAUAAAAAGGCAGAGAAGGUGUUGCAGAGCAAGGAGAGACUAGACUGAACAUCUGACCCUGUGGGUACAUGUUUUUGUUUGUGUUUUACCCAGAUUGCCAUAGAGGAGGCUCUUUAAGCACAAAUUGCACCUGCUGGAAGGAUGCCUCGGUGCUCUGACUCCAGAUGGUUGCCAAGUGAACAGCCAGGGAGCUGAGCACUACCAAGGGAAUGGGAGGUCAUUGCCUUUUUUAUUCCCACAGAAUUUCAUUGUGGUGCAAUAUGCCAAAGUUCAUCCUGCUUAAGGACAAUUUUUUUUUUUUCUUCCUGAACCUUGACAUUCAACAUAGUAGUGAAAUUCAUUUCCCAGUCAGCUCUAAAUGAGAACUUUAGUGAUUUAAUCGAGUUCUCACAGAAAAUCUGUAGCAAGUCUGGGAAUCAAAGCUGUCUCUCUCCCUUCCAAUUUGUAUUUUUUCCUGAUUCUCAGAUAUCUUUCAGCUGCACAGUGAAGAAAGGAAACAGUAGGUAAUUCAGCUCUACAGGGAUGGAAACUCCUCUGUGUUUCAGAGGGCUUUAAUUUGAAAAACUGCAGACCAAUGGGUGCAUCUGCACACACUGUGAUGGAAACCAUCCAGCUGUCCUUCUACGUUUAUUACUCUGGCACUGAAGUCAAUGGGAAAACUGCCAGAAUAAGGAAGGAGCUAGGACUGCAGGAUUUGGUCCUUAUGUGUAAGUUUAAUCAUUUUCUUCCAUCUGCUACUGAUCAGAAAUGUGGACUCUCUGAGCAAAAGCUGAAGGGAAGUGGGGGGAAUUUCAGAAAUAAUAUGUGACAGACAUGUUUUUGACGUCAAGAGAAAAAGUUGUGCCCUUCAUUUAAACUACCUGCAUGUGAUUAUGAACUUAUAAUAUUCUACCCACACAACGUUCAUAAUAAUUCUUUGAGGAAAUUCAAGAGAAUGGCAAAAGUGAAUCACAGAGUUCUUGCAAUGGCCAACAGACUUCAGGAGACUGCUGGAGUCCUGAGCCUGCUCUGCAAGGAUUUAUGUCAUGUAGAACAACCAGGAUACAUUCCAGGGCUAGUGGGCAUUUUAGUGCACUGGAUUUUUGCAGCAUCAAGCAGGCAAUGGGAAAUCUAAGAGGCAUUUAUAAAGGAUAGAAGAGGCUGGAAGCCAUAAUUUAAAAAAGAAUAAAAAUCGUGCCCUGGUUGAUAUGAAAGUAUGUAGGAUCCAUUCAGAAAAAAAAAAAAAAAAAAAAAAUCUGAUGAAGAAACAUUAAUACAGGCUCCAGAAUUACAAGCUGAGAUGAAUCAGAGCAUUUCUGGCCUGCAGACAGUGCUGUUAUUAAGAAUUAUUGCUCAGUGUAAAGAGCCAAAAAAUGUGCUCAACUCAGUAUGAGUUGCAAAAAAAGACAAUCCCUGCUGGAGGAUUUUGCAGUCUAGGAUGCUGGUCCUAAACACUGCUCUUCACAACCUGCUGUGUCUAGGCAAAGACUAGUUAACUCUCAUAGGGCACAGAAGUCCAUCCAUGGCAAGACUGUCAACACAAGAACAUUGGUGACAGACAUGGUAAAAAAAUAGGUCCUGGUGGGACACUUGAUGGCCCAAGGAAUCUCUGUGUUAGAAAGUGAGUGAAAGGCACUGCUGGAAGGCCACUGUGUUCUUCAGUUGACUGAAUUAUUAUACUUCCUGGAAGAUCCUGUUGCUUCCUACUGACUACAGAGGUGCCUGAGCAUGCACGCACA